rnacentral:lncRNA from 1 species
GAAACAAAACAAAACAAAACAAAAAACAAAGUAGGUAUUUAAACCCCACCAACAAAUUCACCAUCACUAUUAUUUCAUAAAAGAAAACUCAUUCGAAUAAUCCCUAAAAAAGUGGAAGAUACUUCAAGUUAGGCAACAAUGGAUCAAUCUUCAGUAAUAAACCUUCACUUGUUGAACUACGAAGGAAAGCAUGUACCACAAAGGGACCUGGAAACAAAAAUGAGAAUCAACUUUGAUGGAAAAUGCUUAACUUUGUAUUUAUAUUUAAUAAUUCAUAACAUGGUCUUAUAGAUGUUUUUAUUGUUUCUGUAAAUACUAUAUUAAUAAAUGUUAUUUUUUUAGAUGUAAUGCUAAUGACACUCAUAAGGAA